rnacentral:rRNA from 1 species
AUGGAAGUAUCAACAAGGUUUCUUCAGAAUUACUUGGAUGCUCUAAUUGGCAUCAAACUGAACUCACGCUUUGAUCCAGCAAAGGGGAAGUGCAGCAUAUCCUAUGAUCUAAAGUCUAGGUCCGUUGUUGAGCACCCCAUGAAUGGCGAUACACCUUGGAGGCCGCCCCAGCUUGGCUGGGUGAAGCUUAACACGGAUGGGUCUUACUCGUUCGCUGGUGGUGCGGGUGCUGGAAUGAUCUUGCGAGAUAACUCAGGAGCCAUAAUAUUCUCAUCAUGCAGGGCCUUGUUCUCGUGUAGAGACGCUCUGGGGGCGGAGUUAUGUGCAUGUAUGGAAGGCUUAUCUUUCGCAAUUCAACGCUCCAAUCUUCCAAUUGCCAUUGAGAUGGACUCGACUACAACCAUGGCUAUUAUUUCAUGCGGCGAGGUGGAUCGCUCAGUUUAUGCUUCUUUGGAGUAUUUACUUUCCUACAAAGAACGUAGGAAUAUUUACUUGUACGUGUCCUUUUCGUUUUUCAAGCCAACAUGCACGUCCUUUCUUUUGCUGGGAACUGAGAUGUGA